rnacentral:rRNA from 1 species
UGUAUGGUUAAGUGACUAAGCGUACACGGUGGAUGCCUGGGCAGUCAGAGGCGAUGAAGGACGUACUAACUUGCGAUAAGCGCAGAUAAGGCAGUAAGAGCCGUUUGAGUCUGCGAUUUCCGAAUGGGGAAACCCAACUGCAUAAGCAGUUACUGUUAACUGAAUACAUAGGUUAACAGAGCAAACCGGGGGAACUGAAACAUCUAAGUACCCCGAGGAGAAGAAAUCAACCGAGAU